rnacentral:tRNA from 2 species
CGCGGGGUGGAGCAGUUGGCAGCUCGUCGGGCUCAUAACCCGAAGGUCGAAGGUUCAAGUCCUUCCUCCGCAACCA